CACUGAGAAGCUUUGUAUCAGCACUAGCCUUUUAAGCUAGAGAAGGGGAUUAUCAUCCCCCUCAAUGA
rnacentral:tRNA from 1 species